CAACGUUUCAGUCUCUCUUGUGGACUUUCAUCAGGAUAAUGAUGAAAGUCCACAAGAGGGACUGAAACAUU